UUACCGUAUUUUUCGCUCCAUAGGACGCACUUUUUCCCUCCUAAAAAGCAAGGGAAAAUGUGUGUGCGUCCUAUGGAGCGAAUGCAAGGGGGAGGCAGGCGGGAAAAGCCCCCAAGAGCCGCACACAAGCUUCGUGCGCUCUUGCAGGCUUUUCCCCAGGAGGGAGAAGGGACUGACUGGCUGCAUUAGUCCUUCUCUCCUCACCUCCCAGAAAAGCCAGGAGAAGCCGCGCAGCCCCUUUAAAGAGCGGGCGGCUUCUGCCGGUUUUGCGGGAGGUGGGGCAAUCCCCCCCCACCUCCCAGAAAAGCCAGGAGAAGCCGCACAGCCCCUUUAAAGAGCGGGCGGCUUCUGCCGGUUUUGCGGGAGGUGGGGCAAUCCCCCCCCCACCUCCCAGAAAAGCCAGGAGAAGCCGCGCAGCCCCUUUAAAGAGCGGGCGGCUUCUGCAGGCUCUCCGGGAGGUGGGGGAAGCUGCAGCGGAUUCCCUCCUCCUGGGCUCCCUUUGAAGCAGCAAAGUGGGAGGGGAGCAGCUUACACUCGUGUAAGCAGCUCCUCUCCCACUUUCCUGC